CGGGCUGUAGCGCAGCUUGGUAGCGCACUUGUCUGGGGGACAAGGGGUCGCGGGUUCAAAUCCCGCCAGCCCGA
rnacentral:tRNA from 2 species